rnacentral:rRNA from 1 species
GACGAACGCUGGCGGCGUGCUUAACACAUGCAAGUCGAACGGAAAGUCCCUGCUUUUGUUGGGUGCUCGAGUGGCGAACGGGUGAGUAACACGUGAGUAACCUUCCCUUGACUUUGUGAUAACUUCAGGAAACUGGUGCUAAUACCGGAUAGGAGCUCCUGCUGCAUGGUGGGGGUUGGAAAGUUUCGGCGGUUGGGGAUGGACUCCCGGCUUAUCAGCUUGUUGGUGGGGUAGUGGCUUACCAAGGCUUUGACGGGUAGCCGGCCUGGGAGGGUGACCGGCCACAUUGGGCCUGAGAUACGGGCCAGAGUGCUACGGGAGGAAGCAGUGGGGAAUAUUGCACAAUGGGCGGAAGCCUGAUGCAGCAACGCCGCGUGCGGGAUGACGGCCUUCGGGUUGUAAACCGCUUUCGCCUGUGGCGAAGCGUGAGUGACGGUAAUGGGUAAAGAAGCACCGGCUAACUACGUG